rnacentral:rRNA from 1 species
UGCCUAAUACAUGCAAGUCGAGCGCGAAAGUUCCUUCGGGGAUGAGUAGAGCGGCGGACGGGUGAGUAACACGUGGAUAAUCUGCCUUUAGGACUGGGAUAACCCUGGGAAACUAGGGCUAAUACCGGAUAAGACCACAGGUUCCAUGGAACCAGGGGUAAAAGGCGGCCUUCGGGCUGUCGCCGAAAGAUGAGUCCGCGUCCCAUCAGGUAGUUGGUGAGGUAACGGCUCACCAAGCCGAAGACGGGUAGCCGACCUUAGCGGGUGAUCGGCCACACGGGGACUGAGACACGGCCCCGACUCCUACGGGAGGCAGCAGUGGGGAAUCUUGGGCAAUGGGCGCAAGCCUGACCCAGCAAUACCGCGUGAGGGAUGAAGGCCUUCGGGUCGUAAACCUCUGUCAGUAGGAACGAUGGGUCUCCGGGCUAAUAUCCCGGAGACUUGACGGUACUUACAAAGGAAGCCCCGGCUAACUACGUGCCAGCAGCCGCGGUAAUACGUAGGGGGCAAGCGUUGUCCGGAAUUAUUGGGCGUAAAGCGCGCGCAGGCGGUCAUUUAAGUCUGGUGUUUAAUCCCGGGGCUCAACCCCGGAUCGCACUGGAAACUGGGUGACUUGAGUGCAGAAGAGGAGAGUGGAAUUCCACGUGUAGCGGUGAAAUGCGUAGAUAUGUGGAGGAACACCAGUGGCGAAGGCGACUCUCUGGGCUGUAACUGACGCUGAGGCGCGAAAGCGUGGGGAGCAAACAGGAUUAGAUACCCUGGUAGUCCACGCCGUAAACGAUGAGUGCUAGGUGUUAGGGGUUUCGAUACCCUUGGUGCCGAAGUUAACACAUUAAGCACUCCGCCUGGGGAGUACGGUCGCAAGACUGAAACUCAAAGGAAUUGACGGGGACCCGCACAAGCAGUGGAGUAUGUGGUUUAAUUCGAAGCAACGCGAAGAACCUUACCAGGUCUUGACAUCCUCUGACAACCCUAGAGAUAGGGCGUUCCCCUUCGGGGGACAGAGUGACAGGUGGUGCAUGGUUGUCGUCAGCUCGUGUCGUGAGAUGUUGGGUUAAGUCCCGCAACGAGCGCAACCCUUGAUCUUAGUUGCCAGCAUUCAGUUGGGCACUCUAAGGUGACUGCCGGUGACAAACCGGAGGAAGGUGGGGAUGACGUCAAAUCAUCAUGCCCCUUAUGACCUGGGCUACACACGUGCUACAAUGGACGGUACAAAGGGCAGCAAAACCGCGAGGUCGAGCCAAUCCCAUAAAACCGUUCUCAGUUCGGAUUGCAGGCUGCAACUCGCCUGCAUGAAGCCGGAAUCGCUAGUAAUCGCGGAUCAGCUAUGCCGCGGUGAAUACGUUCCCGGGCCUUGCACACACUGCCCGUCACA